rnacentral:rRNA from 1 species
UGGGGAAUUUUGGACAAUGGGGGCAACCCUGAUCCAGCAAUGCCGCGUGAGUGAAGAAGGCCUUCGGGUUGUAAAGCUCUUUUGUCCGGGAAGAAACGGUAUUUUUUAAUAAAGAAUACUACUGACGGUACCGGAAGAAUAAGCACCGGCUAACUACGUGCCAGCAGCCGCGGUAAUACGUAGGGUGCAAGCGUUAAUCGGAAUUACUGGGCGUAAAGCGUGCGCAGGCGGUUAUAUAAGUCAGCUGUGAAAUCCCCGGGCUCAACCUGGGAAUGGCAGUUGAGACUGUAUAGCUAGAGUGUGUCAGAGGGGGGUAGAAUUCCACGUGUAGCAGUGAAAUGCGUAGAGAUGUGGAGGAAUACCGAUGGCGAAGGCAGCCCCCUGGGAUAACACUGACGCUCAUGCACGAAAGCGUGGGGAGCAAACAGGAUUAGAUACCCUGGUAGUCCACGCCCUAAACGAUGUCAACUAGUUGUCGGGACUUCAUUGUCUUGGUAACGCAGCUAACGCGAGAAGUUGACCGCCUGGGGAGUACGGUCGCAAGAUUA